rnacentral:piRNA from 1 species
GCGGGAGGAGAAUGGUCUGAAGUA